rnacentral:rRNA from 1 species
CCUACGGGUGGCAGCAGUGAGGAAUAUUGGGCAAUGGACGGAAGUCUGAACCAGCCAUGCCGCGUGCAGGAAGACGGCUCUAUGAGCUGUAAACUGCGUUUGUACAAGGGUAAACCUGAUUACGUGUAUUCAGCUGAAAGUACUGUACGUAUAAGGAUCGGCUAACUCCGUGCCAGCAGCCGCGGUAAUACGGAGGAUCCAAGCGUUAUCCGGAUUUAUUGGGUUGAAGGGGUGCGUAGGCGGAUCGAUAAGUUAGAGGUGAAAUGUCCGGGCUUAACUCGGGAACUGCCUCUAAUACUGUUGAUCUAGAGUGUAGAUGAGGUAGGCGGAAUGUAUGGUGUAGCGGUGAAAUGCUUAGAGAU